ACAAAUGGCAAACCACUUUACAGAUAUGAUCUAGAACCAUUCAGGGUUAGAAGGAAGGACUUUUGGUUGCUAUCAACAGUUGGGAAGCUUUUGAAGGAAUUUAUCCCUAACCUUUCACAUGAAGCUGAUGGUCUUGUUUUUCAGGGGUGGGAUGAUCCCUACGUUCCCAAGACGCAUCAAGGCCUCUUAAAGUGGAAAUAUCCUGAAAUGAACUCAGUUGAUUUUCUCUUUGAGAUAGGAGAAGACGGCACUGAAAACCUUUAUCUUUACGAUCGAGGAAAAAAGCGAUUGAUGGACAAUAACAGGGUUACAUUUGGAGUCGCGGGAAGAAGAGGCAGGAAUCAACUAGGAAAUUUGGAAGUGGGAACCCUUAACCAUUGCUGGGAUGCACUGUGUGAAAGUCAAUUUAAACGAGUGGAUUAAGAGAGUUCGUGCUGUAUUUGUAAUCAAAUGUAUGAAAAGAGGUUCUUAUUAUAGCUAGAAAUCUAGAAUGCAGUUCUAAGUAAUGUAAUGUGCUGGGUAAUUAGAAAGCAAAGAAAUUUUUAGUUCUAGAAACAUGGAGAUUUGGAGGGGAAAACAAUGAAGAAUGUUGUUGGGUGAAUUAUUUAGUUA